UACGGAGGGUGCAAGCGUUCUCCGGAUUCCCUGGGUUUAAAGGGUGCGUUGGCGGGCAGGUAAGUCAGUGGUGAAAUCUCCGGGCUUAACCCGGAAACUGCCGUUGAUACUAUCUGUCUUGAAUAUCGUGGAGGUAAGCGGAAUAUGUCAUGUAGCGGUGAAAUGCUUAGAUAUGACAUAGAACACCCAUUGCGAAGGCAGCUUACUACACGAUCAUUGACGCUGAGGCACGAAAGCGUGGGGAGCAAACAGG
rnacentral:rRNA from 1 species